AUUUUUUUCUCUUUUUAGCAUACUAGUGGUAAAGUAUUCAGUUUGAAUCUUUUCCUUAAUCUUCAUAAAUUGAUUCUGACCGCUAAUAAAUUACUGCAGGAAUUGGAAUUUCUGCUUGCACUAUUGCAAUGCUGGUGCUUACCUAUUAUAUUUAAAGCUCCAGCUUUCCCUUAGUAGAGAAGUUCAUUUGACUUUGAUUUGCUGGCAUAUGAAUGAAGGUCAUCUCAGGCUUAUCAUAUUUUUUUUUAUACAAAUACUACGAAAGUGGUCCAAUUUCUCUUUAUGAUAUCUUUGAGCUGUGUUUUUAGCAUCUGUUGUUGACUUUGAUUCAGUCUCUUUUGAUGUCCCUUAAAGUUGGAUCUAGAAUAGAAUUUCUUUGUUUAUUGAAUUUAGAAUAGAAUUUCCAUUUGUGGUGGGUUACAUUUUUUUAUUACUUUUCAGGCUUUCUUUUCUUGACAAAGACAAU
rnacentral:misc_RNA from 1 species